GAUGAACGCUGGCGGCGUGCCUAAUACAUGCAAGUCGAGCGAACGGACGAGAAGCUUGCUUCUCUGAUGUUAGCGGCGGACGGGUGAGUAACACGUGGAUAACCUACCUAUAAGACUGGGAUAACUUCGGGAAACCGGAGCUAAUACCGGAUAAUAUUUUGAACCGCAUGGUUCAAAAGUGAAAGACGGUCUUGCUGUCACUUAUAGAUGGAUCCGCGCUGCAUUAGCUAGUUGGUAAGGUAACGGCUUACCAAGGCAACGAUGCAUAGCCGACCUGAGAGGGUGAUCGGCCACACUGGAACUGAGACACGGUCCAGACUCCUACGGGAGGCAGCAGUAGGGAAUCUUCCGCAAUGGGCGAAAGCCUGACGGAGCAACGCCGCGUGAGUGAUGAAGGUCUUCGGAUCGUAAAACUCUGUUAUUAGGGAAGAACAUAUGUGUAAGUAACUGUGCACAUCUUGACGGUACCUAAUCAGAAAGCCACGGCUAACUACGUGCCAGCAGCCGCGGUAAUACGUAGGUGGCAAGCGUUAUCCGGAAUUAUUGGGCGUAAAGCGCGCGUAGGCGGUUUUUUAAGUCUGAUGUGAAAGCCCACGGCUCAACCGUGGAGGGUCAUUGGAAACUGGAAAACUUGAGUGCAGAAGAGGAAAGUGGUAUUCCAUGUGUAGCGGUGAAAUGCGCAGAGAUAUGGAGGAACACCAGUGGCGAAGGCGACUUUCUGGUCUGUAACUGACGCUGAUGUGCGAAAGCGUGGGGAUCAAACAGGAUUAGAUACCCUGGUAGUCCACGCCGUAAACGAUGAGUGCUAAGUGUUAGGGGGUUUCCGCCCCUUAGUGCUGCAGCUAACGCAUUAAGCACUCCGCCUGGGGAGUACGACCGCAAGGUUGAAACUCAAAGGAAUUGACGGGGACCCGCACAAGCGGUGGAGCAUGUGGUUUAAUUCGAAGCAACGCGAAGAACCUUACCAAAUCUUGACAUCCUUUGACAACUCUAGAGAUAGAGCUUUCCCCUUCGGGGGACAAAGUGACAGGUGGUGCAUGGUUGUCGUCAGCUCGUGUCGUGAGAUGUUGGGUUAAGUCCCGCGACGAGCGCAACCCUUAAGCUUAGUUGCCAUCAUUAAGUUGGGCACUCUAAGUUGACUGCCGGUGACAAACCGGAGGAAGGUGGGGAUGACGUCAAAUCAUCAUGCCCCUUAUGAUUUGGGCUACACACGUGCUACAAUGGACAAUACAAAGGGCAGCGAAACCGCGAGGUCAAGCAAAUCCCAUAAAGUUGUUCUCAGUUCGGAUUGUAGUCUGCAACUCGACUACAUGAAGCUGGAAUCGCUAGUAAUCGUAGAUCAGCAUGCUACGGUGAAUACGUUCCCGGGUCU
rnacentral:rRNA from 1 species